AUUGAAACACUAGUUCCUGUAUGAUCACUGAAGUUAAGCAAUGUUGAGCUAAGUCAGUACUUAGAUGGGUGACUGCUUGGGAAUACCAGAUGCU